rnacentral:rRNA from 1 species
UACAGAGGGUGCAAGCGUUAAUCGGAAUUACUGGGCGUAAAGCGUGCGUAGACGGUUAUGUAAGUCAGAUGUGAAAGCCCCGGGCUCAACCUGGGAAUUGCAUUUGAGACUGCGUAGCUAGGGUGCGGAAGAGGGAAGCGUAAUUUCCGGUGUAGCGGUGAAAUGCGUAGAUAUCGGAAGGAACACCAGUGGCGAAAGCGGCUUCCUGGUCCAGCACCGACGUUCAGGCACGAAAGCGUGGGGAGCAAACAGG